rnacentral:rRNA from 1 species
UACGUAGGGGGCAAGCGUUGUCCGGAAUCAUUGGGCGUAAAGAGCGUGUAGGCGGUUCGGUAAGUCGGCUGUGAAAGUCCAGGGCUCAACCCUGGGAUGCCGGUCGAUACUGCCGGACUAGAGUUCGGAAGAGGCGAGUGGAAUUCCCGGUGUAGCGGUGAAAUGCGCAGAUAGUCGGGAGGAACACCUAUGGCGAAGGCAGCUCGCUGGGACGUUACUGACGCUGAGACGCGAAAGCGUGGGGAGCAAACAGG